GUGUCAGCCGCCGCGGUAAUACAGAGGGUGCGAGCGUUAAUCGGAAUUACUGGGCGUAAAGCGCACGUAGGUGGCUAUGUAAGUCAGGUGUGAAAUCCCCGGGCUCAACCUGGGAACUGCACUUGGGACUGCAUGGCUAGAGUAUGGGAGAGGAAGGCGGAAUUCCCGGUGUAGCGGUGAAAUGCGUAGAUAUCGGGAGGAACAUCAGUGGCGAAGGCGGCCUUCUGGCCCAAUACUGACACUCAGGUGCGAAAGCGUGGGGAGCAAACAGGAUUAGAAACCCCCGUAGUCC
rnacentral:rRNA from 1 species